GGUCUUUUUAACAUUUUUGGAUUCGAGCGUCACUGAUGAGUCUUUUGUAGAUGAAAUGCGCCUCUGGCAUAUAUACAAAAUUUAGUCCUGGUAUCUAUGAUGAGUUCAUUUCAAAAUUUAUCAAAGUCCAAAGCCUGUAAUUUCUGCAAAAAUUAGUUGAGCAGAACGAAACUUAAACUUGAUCUGUAACUUAUCAUGGUUAACUC
rnacentral:lncRNA from 1 species